UAAUUCAAAUUCAGUCUACAGUAGAUGAUCAACUCUGACAUGUUUUCUCAGAGCGACUCACAGCUGGAGCUGUUGACUUUGGUGUGUGUGAUCGUGGGACUGGUGUUCUUCAGUUUGGCCCUGUUGGCUUUUGUCCUUUAUAAAUGGAGUCCUGUGCGUGAUUGGAUACAUGGUUCCGUUGUGCUGGUUCCUAAAGGUUACAACAGGGAAGAGUUACGCUGCAGUACACAAAGUGCUUCAGAUGUCUCUGCUGUGGACUCAACAAAAUCAAAAGUGUCUCAAAAAACACUGAAGACCACAACAUCAUUUUAAACCUAGAAUGCAUGAACCAAAAAAUUAAAAAAUUAAAAAAAAUGCAUAAAGGGGGUGAAAAUGGCCCAUAUUGGAAUAAAAAAGGUGUCCUAUUAAUGAAAUAAUUAAAAUAAUUGAUGAUACGCAAGUAUUUUAAUAUAGCAAACAUGUUUAUUAGUCCACUUUUCUAUUUGCAUUACAAAAGAUUACAUUUAUUCUUUUUAAAAUGCUCUUGUACCUUUUUCUACAACUCCAAACUAAUUUAGAUCUACUGUAUAUUCCCGACUGAACCUUCACUCCCCACAUUUCUCACAGACCAUGUAAAAAUGAUCAGGCAGAGUCAGAAAAUUUCACAUCAGAUUUGCACCUUUCUAAGCAUAUCUUUUGGGCAGAGUUUGAACCUCUUCCUUUGUUUGGGCCUUCAGCUGUCCUUUGCUGUGGCCUUUAUCCUUUAUCCCCUUUAUGCAUUCAAGGGUUCAGGAAAUAGAAAGUACCAUUAUUAUACAGGUGAUUUUAUAUAACAGAAUCAAUGUUUUUGGAUGUUUAAUGUAAUAAUGCCAAUUCACAUUGCAACGACAGACGCAGACCGUGAUGUGGACAAUCACCAGAUUACAGUACCUCACUCCCCAGACGUUCCAUGACCCGACAAACAUUUGAUUCAGCAUGUUCAGUCGGCAAAAACAAGAACUGACCAACAUCAACAGAUGCCGACAGGAGUAACACACUGAUCAGACAAAUCCAAUUAACAUUUCUGUUGCCGUCUGUUGGUUCAGUGUAAAUUGGCAUAUAGUAUCAGCUUCUUUCUGCAAAUGAUAUUAAAAUAUGAUAUACAAGUUUCUUAAUAUUACGGCUGCCGAUACUACUGAUGUAAAAUAAGUAACUCUAUUUUAAUUGCACUCAAGAUUUUUUGGUGGAGGGCA
rnacentral:lncRNA from 1 species